UCAAGUUCCACCAGUACCAGGUGGUGGGCCGCCACCUGCCCACUGCCGCGGAUGCCAACCCCACCGUCUACCGCAUGAAGGUGUGGGCCGAGGAUGACGUCAAGGCCAAGAGCAAGUUCUGGUGAGCAGCGGCGGGACAGAGGAGGGGGAAAUGGUGCAGCGAAAUGGAGCUUGCGACGGCGCAGCAGCCUGGGGGCGUUUGGGUCGCUAUAACUGAGUGCUUAGAGCUUCAAGUAUUACCUGAAACUGGUUUAGGCAUUCCAGGUGUUGGUAUGGGCACUCCUUGGGCUUGACGGCUGAAAUCGGCGGGGCCUGCUCUCUCGUUCAGGUACUUCCUGAGGAAGCUUCGCCGUGUGAAGAAGGCCAACGGUCAGAUCAUUGCUUGCAACGAGGUGAGCACUUGCGCCGGCUGGUGAACUCGGCGACUGGGGCCGGCGGGGAGUGAGUUGAGACACGGCCUAGACUUCAAACGGUGCAUAAAAGUGAAACUACGAGGGGCUGGACUGGUGGGUGUCUCUGUGGUUAGGUCAGAGGUGAGCAUCUCGGCGCAGCGAUGUGGAGUUUGCGGAGCAGCCGGAGCCAGAGCGACCACAGAUGGCGCGCCAUAGCUGCAGAACAGCGGCGUGCGUCUACGCAUGUAAGGGCGCCCACGCUGGCGGCUGGACUGCUGGCAGUGCGCCGCAGCCCCUCAGGCGCUGCAGCAGCACCUUCCGUGGCCGGCGCAGGUGCUCCUCGGAUUGUGCAGCUCCGGCGCGCGCAGGGGGAGCUGUCGCAGUCUGCGUCGUGACUGUGGAUGCUGGCAGCCGGGCAAGGGGCGGAGCAGGGACUGGGGCUAUAUGGGGCAGGGUCAGCCGCGUGCGCAGCUGGGCCACAGCAGCUUGUUCGAGCACACGGAGGCAUGCGCAGCGAGGGGGCGCGACCUGCAACGGCGUGCUCGUCAGGAGCACGGAACUUGCCCAGUCCUUGCAGCGGCGGUAGCAGCUGCGGGGGCUGGGCGCCGGCGCCAUGUGCCAGCGGAGCCUGGCGGCUGGAGCCUGCAUCAGCGCUGCAGGCAGCCACUCGUGGCGACGACCGCCGCUGCAGCUGUGCAGCCUCAGGGUGUGGAGACAGGCGCGGCAGCUGCUGCGUUGCUGCCGGCGGCUUGUCAGCGCGCCGCGGCGUUGGCGCCAGCGCUCGAUACACUGGCCUCCACCGGGCGUGCCGGCGCAGUGGCGUCUUGAGGGCGGCGUGCUAUCAGCUACAGCUCGCAUCAGCGCGCGGCUUGGCAACGGCGCCAGCGCUCAGCCUACACGAUGUAUCGGCGGGGUGCUGCAUGUGCGUGCAAGCCAAGCUGUCAGUUUUCGACCGAUAGGGACCAGUCGGGGCGGAAGUUCCACCUGCAGGGCCGAGAGCAGGGCGGCGCGGAGGGAAGCACAGAAGCACAGCUCGGCGCAGCCUGCAGCAGCACAUUCGCACAUUCAGUUGUGCGAGCGGGAUUGGACGGGUUUAGAGCGUCAGCCGGCAGCGAAGGUCGCGAGCAGAGGCAGCAGACCGGCCGGGCACGCGGGCGGCAUGCGGACACUUCAAAAGCGGGCUAGGCAGACGAGUGGGGUGUGUUUUUUGGUGGUGGAAGUGGCUGGAUGCCGAAGAGUGCAUAAUUGUUCUUGUUCUUGGGGGCGGAGUUGAUGUGCAUGCCCAGUGGCACGGAGUGCUCUACGGGCAAGGUGCGCGUGGGCAACUCUGCGUGCGUCACCCGACCGUGCUUGCCUUGCAGUGCAGUGCCGCUUCGAGGCGCCGCGUGCCACAUCCUGUCUCCUGCACGCAUGACGCUUCCGCCUGCCCUGCCCGCGCCAACCCGCCGCAUCCUCGCCCCUGCCUUACGCACGCGCAGAUCUUCGAGCGCAAGCCCACCCUGGCCAAGAACUACGGCAUCUGGGUUCGCUACCAGUCGCGCACGGGCGUGCACAACAUGUACAAGGAGUACCGCGACGUGACCCUGAACGGCUCCGUCUCCCAGAUGUACCAGGAGAUGGCCUCGCGCCACCGCGUGCGCCCCUCGUCCAUCCAGAUCAUCAAGACCGCCACCGUGGACUACCACAGCUGCAAGCGUGCCAACACCAAGCAGUUCCACAACGAGAAGAUCAG
rnacentral:lncRNA from 1 species